GGAUGAUGAAGUUGUCAAAUAUUUCUGGAUCUACAUUUUUGGCAAUUUGGUACAUGAGGAACCAGGUGUGGUAGUUGGUUCGGUGAAUGAUGAUAUGAGCGUUCUUGACAGGGAGAGACGGAGACGUGAAACGAGAGAGUCACAAAUUAAUUACCUUCGCAUAGUUCGACUCAGAAUCGUGAGAGAUCUAAAGACAAGAGCGAGUGCCGUGAUGCAUGAAAGGAUGAGAAACCAAAACCAAAGGAUCAAAAACACGCGAUCAUUAAUAAUAUUCAGGGGUAAAGUGCAAAUAGCGUCCUUUUUCUGAAUUCCUCCUUCUCCAGCUAUUUGUCUAUAACUACACUUGGCCAUUUUGGGAAACACUUUGUCCAUCGGAUUGAAGCCAUGUGGACCUCCCAUGAUCCCUGACUCAAAGUAGUACUGAAGAUAAUCCGCUCCAUAGGUCAGGAAACGCCCCUCCAGGAAUGAGUUAAAGAAGAACCAUUGCCAAAGAAGAUUAAGGAAAUUGAGUAGUUCACAAAAAGCAAAUCUCUGGGCAUAAAGCGUCUAUUAUUUCAAGACAUGGGCUGGAACAGAGGGGAGUAGAAGAAUGAAAAACGCAAGCCCAAUAAGGAAUAAUAAUCAAAUCAAGGCCUGAAGAAACACAACAAAGGGAAGAAUGCCUGAAAAUCAUCUCUCUUUUUACUCCAAGUCUUUAUUUAUUUCAAAUCAUUUACAAAAGCAAGAUAGAAAUAUUUUCUGAAAAUGGUGUAAGGAUUAAAUUUGUAUUCGUUCGAAAUUAUAUUUAAUUUCUAUCGACUAACUAUUCUGCUUAAACCUUUAGAAAGACUGCAAAUUACAUUAAUUAAAUUAAGUAGGGAAAAUUCAUAGUUACAUUAAUAAAAUAAUUAGAAAUGAAUGGAUUUUAUUUGAAAGACAAUAUCGGGCUCAAACUAAAUCGUAUAGAUGUAAUAAAGUUUAUAAACUAUAGUUAACUCUUAAUUGGUAAUUUAGUUGUAAAUAAAAUAAACUUUUUCAUUA
rnacentral:lncRNA from 1 species